AACGAACGCUGGCGGCAUGCCUAACACAUGCAAGUCGAACGAAGGCUUCGGCCUGAGUGGCGCACGGGUGCGUAACGCGUGGGAAUCUUCCCCCCGGUUCGGAAUAACAGUUAGAAAUGACUGCUAAUACCGGAUGAUGACUUCGGUCCAAAGAUUUAUCGCCGAGGGAUGAGCCCGCGUAGGAUUAGCUAGUUGGUGUGGUAAAGGCGCACCAAGGCGACGAUCCUUAGCUGGUCUGAGAGGAUGAUCAGCCACACUGGGACUGAGACACGGCCCAGACUCCUACGGGAGGCAGCAGUGGGGAAUAUUGGACAAUGGGCGAAAGCCUGAUCCAGCAAUGCCGCGUGAGUGAUGAAGGCCUUAGGGUUGUAAAGCUCCUUUACCAGGGAUGAUAAUGACAGUACCUGGAGAAUAAGCUCCGGCUAACUCCGUGCCAGCCGCCGCAGUAACAC
rnacentral:rRNA from 1 species